rnacentral:miRNA from 1 species
UGAACGUGUCCCCUAUCGGUGG